rnacentral:rRNA from 1 species
GACGAACGCUGGCGGCGUGCUUAACACAUGCAAGUCGAACGGAAAGGCCUCUUUCGGGGGGUACUCGAGUGGCGAACGGGUGAGUAACACGUGAGUAACCUGCCCUUGACUUUGGGAUAACUUCAGGAAACUGGGGCUAAUACCGGAUAGGAGCUCCUGCUGCAUGGUGGGGGUUGGAAAGUUUCGGCGGUUGGGGAUGGACUCGCGGCUUAUCCGCUUGUUGGUGGGGUAGUGGCUUACCAAGGCUUUGACGGGUAGCCGGCCUGAGAGGGUGACCGGCGACAUUGGGACUGAGAUACGGCCCAGACGCCGACGGGAGGAAGCAGGGGGGAAGAUUGCACAAUGGGUGGAAGCCUGAUGCAGCAACGCCGUGUGCGGGAUGACGGCCUUCGGGUUGUAAACCGCUUUCGCUCAUGACGAAGCUUUGUGUGACGGUAGUGGGUAAAGAAGCACCGGCUAACUACGUG